GUAGUCAUAUGCUUGUCUCAAAGAUUAAGCCAUGCAUGUCCAAGUUCACGCCUUUACACGGCGAAACCGCGAAUGGCUCAUUAAAUCAGCUAUUGUUUCUUAGAUCUUACCAUACUACAUGGAUAACUGCAGUAAUUCUGGAGCUAAUACAUGCCAAUAUGCCUCGGCUUUACCGCUGAGGCGGGUUUAUUAGAUCAAAACCAACCAGCCUUCACGGGCUGUGGGUUUGAUGACUCUGGAUAACCAACCUGAUCGCAUGACCUUGCGUCGGCGACAAUUCUUCCAAGUACCUGACCUAUCAUCUGUCGAUGGUGAGUGAUAUGCUCACCAUGGAGAUCACGGGUAACGGGGAAUCAGUGUUCGAUUCCGGAGAGGGAGCCUUAGAAACGGCUACCACAUCUAAGGAAGGCAGCAGGCGCGCAAAUUACCCACUCUCAGCGAGAGGAGGUAGUGACGAAAAAUAACGAUGCAAGACUCAUUACGAGGCCUUGCAAUUGGAAUGAGUACAAUUUAAAUCCUUUAACGAGGAUCCAUUGGAGGGCAAGUCUGGUGCCAGCAGCC
rnacentral:rRNA from 1 species